AGUUAGUGAGACCCUUAGACCCUGAAAUAAAAUAUCUGAGGAUAUAGUUCACUGAGGAGAUGCAGAGUACAAACCCCAGUAAUGCAAAAGUGAAAAAUUAACAGACAGAUGAUAAAUAGAUAAAAACAUUCAUAGAUACUUAGAUAAAAUGAAAUAAGUGGUCACUGAUUUAUUUAGUAUGAAGAAAAGAUGGGCCAUAGGGCUUUCCAUCACAUGGAGACUCCGGUUGUGGAAUCCCAAGACGUGACCUCACUUCCUUGGCAACAUCUCCAAACAGAACCUGGAACCCUUGUUAACGGGCAUCACAAUCUAGUACCAACUGUCUCCCAAGCUCACUUGGCUGGAGAUGGUCAACAGCAAACAUGCUGAGCUGCUUCUCCACUUCGAGAAGCCGCAGCCUCAGGACCCCAGUCAAAGAAAGUAUCUGUGAAAGAUUGAGAAGAUGCCUGACUCCAUCCAGUUGCUGCAGGACUGCCACAGUCACUCCAGUGAAGGUCUCCCCAGGAGUGGGCACCAGUGACCUACUACAAUCAAGUCAUCUUCAGGAGCAUGUUCAGUUUCCAUGAACUCUGAUUCAACCCUGCUGUUCCCAGGCAGUUAAGCAACAGGAGGGAGAGGUCUUGUCCUCAGCACGUAUGAUGGGAAAAUUGCCAGAACUGAGAAAGAGCUCCUUACGUCAACACUAACAGAAAAGAAGUAAAUAAAGGCAGGAGGUUGUUAAGGAAGGGCUCCUUGGCUGACGCUCUCAUGAUGACUGUCGCAAAAGGGUGCCUGAACCAUCAGCUCCGACAGAGGCCACUGCAGCCUUGUACAAAGAGCACUCGGACAAGGACAACUGCUUGGCAACUGCCUAUUCCACCUCGGCUGACGUGUUCUUGUUAUGACUCCUUGUGGCCAAGCAUUCUGUUUCAAAAUAUCUGACAUAGUCCUCUUUUUUUUUUGUCUUUAGCUUUUCUUUAACUCUUUAACUUGCCUCAGCCUCCUUGGACAUUCCCAUUGAAAGGCUCUGUGAUUCUCAUUGUAGUGUUAUUCCCAAAUAAAUAUGACUAUUCUUCAGAAAACCUGUUUUUCUUUUUAAUUUACAUCGACAUUGGG
rnacentral:lncRNA from 1 species